rnacentral:misc_RNA from 1 species
AAACGUGCACUACCUUUGGAACAGAAUGGCAGAAAUAUCUUCAAUAACUUUUAUUUAUAGUUCUAAACUUGAAGCUUUUAUUUUCUGAUUUGCAAAAAUUUUCACCUCCUAAAAUCUUUCUUCCUUUAAAAAAUAUGCAUAAAUGCAUUUGCACUGUCAACUUUGAAAGCAACUCAGUUAGUUGCAUAUUAUCAAAAACAAAAAUUAACUGUUUCUGACACCAUUUCACUAUUGAUUUAUUUUAUAACACUAACUGCUCAGAUAAAAAGUACAAAGUAUAAAUUUACAGAACUUUAAUAAAUUAUUUUUAAAACGUUGGUUUAUAAUCCGAACAAAGCAUAUAUGAUAAAUUACAUUAUCCUGGUUGGAUAGACCUUGGGCGCUUCACCAUAUUCAGUUAAACGCUCAAGCAAACAGGAUCAAUUGAUUGUAUUUAAUCCAAAGGAAGAAAGAAAAAUAUUCAAAAAAUUAAUAAUUGACUACUUUGUUCCAUAAAAGUAAUUUUAGUACUACCUUAAGAACCAAAAGUUUUAAUUCCUUUAUUUAUGUAGUACUUAAAUUUACUUUAGUUUGCAAAAUUAGAUAUUUUGAUGGUUGUCACACUGUAUAUUUAACUGUCUUAACUGGAUUAGAGAUUCAUCGGCUUAGAAAAUAUUAUAUAAUUAUCGAUAGGGGUAUGUUUGUUUAUGUUCUCAGGAGUACUAAGGUUCACUGCUGCUGCAAAAUUUUAAAAGCUCAGUUAUUUGCUUCUUUAUCAGUCAAAUAGUUUCUGUUUAGUCUUGGUGUUAUGCACUUAAUAACUGAAAAAUUUAAUGCUCGUAGUUGUUAUCUAGGUUGAAAAAAAGUGUUUGAUAAGAAUCUGUAUUUUCUAAAAAUUUAUAGCUUAGUUCUUGCUUUAUUUUAUUUCGUACUUAUACAUUUUAGUAUGUCCAUGGGUUUUCUAGUGGAUGAAAAAUCACCAAUUGUUUGGAGAGGACUUAUGGUGAUGUCUGCAAUUGAAAGACUGUUUCGAAAGUUCUGAAAGAAGUUUUGCUUGUGCAGGUUGCAUGGGGUCCUCUGGAUUAUUUGAUAGUAGAUAUGCCACCUGGUACUGGAGACACUCAACUGUCGAUCUCACAAACAAUACCUGUAUCAGGUAGUUUCAU